CCGAGCUCAAUGAAAGGAAUUCCGCUACUCUCAUUGGCCUGGGGCUGGACGCCGCUCCCCCGCGGGAGGCGGGGUGCGGAGGAUGGGGCGCAGACUUGGGAUCCCCACCACCACCACUCGGGACACCGGUGCUCUGGGCUGCUGUCGUGAGGGCGAUGUGCAAGCCUAGGGACUAGGUCUCCGCGUGCGCUGGGGGAAGGGCCGUGUGUGCAGCAAAGAGCCAGAACCCUUUCCUAGGCCUUACCUGACUCAGAUGAGGAAACUGAGGUACAGAAACUUGCGCAUUUAAUUUGCCAUUGAAACCUAUUGGGAGCGCUAAGACACCAAAACCAGAAAGUCCUACACCAGCUGUGCUCCGACCCCCAACAGCUAGAAGAGGGUUUAAUAUGGUCCAGUCUGGCCAUUAGCUCACUGUGCAGCUGAGGGUGCUUUUCUCCUUGUCUCCGCAUCCUGGGUGCAGGUCCGUGUCCAAGACUACAGUGCUGGGAUUACGUGUGUGCCACGUGGCUGGAGAGAUGGAGUGAGGAUUAAGAGCACCUGCAGCUCUUGCAGAGGACCCCAGGUUCAUUCCCAGCACCCACAUGGUGGCUCAUAACCAUCCCUAACUCCGGUUCCAGGAGCCAAUGAGAUGACUUACAAGUAAUGACACUCACUGCCACCCUGAGGACAUGAGUUUCAUACCUGGAACCCACAUGGGUUUCUUUGUGUAGCCUUGGCUGACCUGCAACUUGUGCUGAAGACCAGGCUGGCCUCAAACUCGCAGAGAUCCACCUGCCUCUGCCUCCCAAGUGCUGGGAUUAAAGAUUUGUGCCACCAUGCCUGGUUCACAUGUCACAUUGUGCCCAUGUCACAGUCGGGACACUGAGGCCGCCAGAAAGCACACGGCAAGCAGGGAGGAAGGCGGAUCCAAGAAGAGGGCAAUGUGUGGUGAAGCCAUUGGCUCAGUCUGCCUCCUGUGUGACCCUGGGCCACGGACACAACCCCGGUCUCAAUUCCUUCGCUAGAAGAGAGAAACCUCGAAGUUCAGAGGGACCGAGGUGCACACCUUCAUGACAAGGGGCUGUGUUGCAUUGAGUAUUCCAGCAGGCAUGUCUUCAGCCUUCACCCUUCAUCCCCUCUGUGCUGAGGGGCCCUUGGCCCAACCCCACAGAACAGGGCGCACCGGGAUUAAGACAGCUGAGAGCUUCUUGGCCCAGGGUUUAGGAGGUCACUCGUGAGCAGAUGCUGGCUGCUUCAGAAAUAUCACACUGGGGCUGGAGAAGUGGCUGGGCCAGCAGUGAGCUGUGUGCUUCCCUGGUAUGCACAAAGCCUGGGCUCCAUCCCUAGACCUGCACAGAACCCGGUACAGCAGCGCACACCUGCGCUACAGAGCUAACAGAAAGGAUCAGAAGUUCAAGGUCAUCCUGGUGAGUACAUCCUUAGUAAGUACUAAGCCAGACAGAGCUACAAUGUUAUCAUAAACACACACACAGAGAGAAAUUUGAAAGCCCUGCCAUUUCAAAUUUUCCUUCUGCAGACUACAUGAAUGUGUGGGUCACUCAGAGGUGGUGGCCCAGCCCCAUAAAUGCCAGCCACAGCCCUGCCCCCACCCUCCUGGAAAGUCAGAGACCCUGACCCUGCCGCCAGCAUCACACCCCAUCCUGCCCAGGUCCCCGAGGGGAGAGGCUGAGGUGGGCUUUAUUUAUAAGUUCCUGCUGCUCAUGAAUCACCGAAGGAAUUGCUCAGGCUGGAGUCAAACGUCUGGGGCUGCCCGGUCGAGAGGAAGCGCUCUUUAGAUUUCGACUUUCCCUUGGCACAGGCCUCCCUGUACCCAGCCGGGCCCUGCCAGUCCCUUCUGUUCUCAAAGGCCAAAGCGCAUUUGCCGCCAAGUUCUGUCUGCCUGUCCGCCUUGCUGUGUAAACAGGACCCAGAGCUGGCGGCCCGGCCCCACACUGGAAAUGAGCCUGCCUUCCGUAGCCUCACCACUUCCUCUUCACAUCCGGAGACUCCUCAGAAUUCGUAUGAGGCCUGGGUGCACAGGAGGAGCGUUGCUGGAGCUCUGGCCUGCUAUGGUCUUCUCCAGCCUGGAUGACCAAUGGACAAAUGGAAGGAACAGAGAGCCCAGUAUAAACGGCCUCUCUUAAGGGAAACCAGCUCACUCCUCUGAGCUAACUCAGCCUACAGUACCGAGCAGUCUUUGCAUGCCAUGGUCUGGUGCGGGGCGCUCCUGAAUCGGGGCUCCAGAGGGAUACAGGAUCUCUGAUCCUUUCCAUCCACUGUAAGCUUACGGCACAGUGAACAUUUGAUUUGUAGUCAGAUUCUACAGCGGGUCUAGCCUCAUCUGCAUGUAGCAGAAGCUAUGAAAGUAUUCACUGCACUAACCUGUGUUAAGCUGGGGCAGGCUAGCCAAAGCAGCUGGCCCUGCCCUCCUGCUUCCUGGGCCCCACUCUGUGGCCUGGAAGCCCGGACUUCGCUGAGUAAUGUCUCUUCUCUCUAAUGGUCAGAACCAGGGAUCCUGAUGGUGUCAGUCACCAUCAUGACAAGUAACCAUGGCCUGUACCAACCAUCAUGUCCCUGUUCUACAGGUGAAAACUGGACUCAGAAAAGUGGACCAUCUGAUCAGGAUCCACAGCUCACACACAGCCAGUGGCCCAAGAUUUUCAAACACAGUCAAGCUCCAGAUGGGAUCCUGGGGCCAAAAGAAGGAGAGGAGCUUUCCCCUGGAGGAAGGCAGGUGGAAGCCAAGUCCUCGGUCUUCUUGCUCAGCCAGUUGCGCUGUCUUUCCAUCCACUGCAGUCUUUCCAUCCCUUACCUAUCAAUAUUCCUGUUGAACACAGGCCAAAGAGUCUGGUGAAGCUGGAACGGGCUCCAGGUCACCAACUACAGAUGACAGCCACAUCCCUUCUAGGCCCCCACUCUACCUGGAAAACCCUGACUUACUUCAAGAAUUACAUGGAAACAUCAUCCUGAAUCCGAGUAUUCCUGUGUGGGAGGCCAACCUGGGUUACAGAGCAAGAUCCUGUCCCCAAAAUAAAAUCCUUGAAAGUAAGUAAAUGUAAGUAAAAUGGAAAAUAAAUAAAAAUAAUUUUAAUAUGGGGGCCAGAGAGAAAAGACACCCGCCACCAAGCCUGAC